rnacentral:rRNA from 1 species
GGACUACAAGGGUAUCUAAUCCCGUUUGCUCCCCUAGCUUUCGCGCCUCAGCGUCAAGAACAGGCCAGGUAGUCGCCUUCGCCACUGGUGUUCCUCCCGAUAUCUACGCAUUUCACCACUACACCGGGAAUUCCACUACCCUCUCCUGCCUUCGAGUCGAUCAGUAUCGAAUGACCCUCCCCAGUUGAGCCGGGGGCUUUCACACUCGACUUGAACGACCGCCUGCGCGCUCUUUACGCCCAGUAAAUCCGGACAACGCUUGUCACCUACGUAUUACCGCGGCGGCUGGCAC